UACGUAGGGUGCAAGCAUUAAUCGGAUUUAUUGGGCGUAAAGGACGCGUAGGCGGGUUGAUAAGUCGAGUGUGAAAUUCCGGGGCUCAACCCCGGAGCUGCACUGGAAACUAUCAACCUAGAGGAUAGAAGGAGAAAACGGAAUUCCACAAGUAGCGGUGAAAUGCGUAGAUAUGUGGAAGAACACCCGUGGCGAAGGCGGUUUUCUAUUUUAAACCUGACGCUGAGGCGUGAAAGCAAGGGGAUCAAACAGG
rnacentral:rRNA from 1 species